rnacentral:rRNA from 1 species
CCUGCCCUGUGACUUAGUGUUUAACGGCCGCGGUAUUUUGACCGUGCAAAGGUAGCGCAAUCAAUUGUCUUUUAAAUGAAGGCCUGUAUGAAUGGCAUAACGAGGGCUUAACUGUCUCCUUUUUUCAGUCAAUGAAAUUGAUCUUCCCGUGCAGAAGCGGGAAUAAAAACAUAAGACGAGAAGACCCUAUGGAGCUUAUAAACGCAAGAGUAGAUCAUGUCACUUGAUCUUAAUAUAAUAAGAUCUUAAACCAACUGACCCCUACUCUAAUGUUUUUGGUUGGGGCGACCAUGGGAUAAAACUAAACUCCCACGAAGAAUGAAAACACAAUAUUUUUCAAUUUAAGAACAACAGUUCUAAAAAACAGAACUUCUGACUUUUAUUGAUCCGGCCUAGGCCGAUUAACGAACCGAGUUACCCUAGGGAUAACAGCGCAAUUCUCUUUUAGAGUCCCUAUCGACAAGAGAGUUUACGACCUCGAUGUUGGAUCAGGACAUCCUAAUGGUGCAGCCGCUAUUAAGGGUUCGUUUGUUCAACGAUUAA